UCAAGAACCAGGGACGAAGACCCUACACGGGUACCAUAUGCUGCCAUCUUUAAAAAUCCUCGGACCCAGGGAGAGAGAUAAGUGUUGCUGUGAGUAGAUGGAUCCUUCGGCCUUCCUACUUCACUAUUUUCACUGAUUGCACUCUGUUUGAGAUUUGUUCUACACUCCAGUAUACGAUCUAUCUUGGCAAGUGUUCCACGAGCUUGGGGGAAAAAUGUAUUCUCCAGGUAUGCGAUGAAGUUCCCACACAUACAUACACAUAAAUAUAAAUGUAUAUAUUAUAAAUCAUAUGUGUGUAUAUAAAACUAAUAGUAUCUAAUAGUUAACUAUACAAAAUACUAAUAGUAUCUAGUAUAUAUAUUAAAGAUACCAUUAAUUUUUUGUCUUGUUCAGAUAUUCUAGAUUCUUGCUAAUUUUAGGUGUCUGAAUCACUUGCAGGGAGGGGUUGUUAAAAGUCAUUUAUAAUUGUGAAUUUGUCCAUUUAUCUUUUCCGUUCUAACAUUUAUAAUCACCAUAGCUCCCAUGCAGAUUCAUCCUUCUAUCAUAAUGUGAUAUCCUCCCUUGCCUCUAGUAAUUUUAUUUCCUCUAAAGUCUGCUCUGAUAUUUAUAUAGCCACU
rnacentral:lncRNA from 10 species